UAAUAUGUAUUUUUGACUCAAUACAUGUUUGUUUUAUUUGUCUAUAUCCUAGAUUCGCAGCUGUACACAUCCUUCUACACUGUAUGCAAACAUGCAACAUCAUUACACACAGUACAAGGAGUCAGACUGGCAUAUGAGGAGCAAAGAAACCCAGGCAGUAGCAUCGUUUCACAAUGUUUCCAUCACCAUCAUCAGUGGAUGCCUUUGCCGUCCGUAGCCUGAGAUUUCAGAUUUGCAGCAAAAAAAAUUUGAUUUUCUCAUUUAUUGGAAUGCUGUGCAGGUAUUUGUACCUUGCAGCCAUCCAUUACAAUGUCACCAAGCCGUAACAAAAGCAGGAGAGGGAAAGUACAAGGCUAUGUUCCCAAAACACACAAGUGACACACCUUAUGUGGAGGAUGUGAUCAGGCUUGUGUUUGAUGAGGUAUUUGAAGAUAAGCUGAAGGAAGCCCCGAUUCCAAUGGACCUGGCAUCACAGUUUGAGAGACCUUCAA